rnacentral:rRNA from 1 species
UACGUAGGGUGCAAGCGUUGUCCGGAAUUAUUGGGCGUAAAGAGCUCGUAGGCGGUUUGUCGCGUCUGCUGUGAAAUUUCGGGGCUCAACCCCGAACUUGCAGUGGGUACGGGCAGACUAGAGUGUGGUAGGGGAGACUGGAAUUCCUGGUGUAGCGGUGGAAUGCGCAGAUAUCAGGAGGAACACCGGUGGCGAAGGCGGGUCUCUGGGCAGUAACUGACGCUGAGGAGCGAAAGCGUGGGGAGCGAACAGG